GUGUCAGCAGCCGCGGUAAGACGGAGGGGGCUAGCGUUGUUCGGAAUGACUGGGCGUAAAGGGCGCGUAGGCGGUUUAUUAAGUGAGGCGUGAAAGCCCUGGGCUUAACCCAGGAGGUGCGUUUCAUACUGGUAGACUUGAGUGCGAGAGAGGAAAGCGGAAUUCCUAGUGUAGAGGUGAAAUUCGUAGAUAUUAGGAAGAACACCAGAGGCGAAGGCGGCUUUCUGGCUCGUAACUGACGCUGAGGCGCGAAAGCGUGGGGAGCAAACAGGAUUAGAUACCCUGGUAGUCCACGCUGUAAACGAUGAGUGCUAGACGUUGGGAAGCAAUUUUCAGUGUCGCAGCUAACGCAUUAAGCACUCCGCCUGGGGAGUACGGUCGCAAGAUUAAA
rnacentral:rRNA from 1 species